AAGUGUUGGGACUAAAGGCGUGU
rnacentral:piRNA from 1 species